CCUACGGGAGGCAGCAGUAGGGAAUUUUCGGCAAUGGGGGGAACCCUGACCGAGCAACGCCGCGUGAACGAAGAAGUUAUUCGUAAUGUAAAGCUCUUUUAACAGGGAAGAAAAUGACGGUACGUGACUAAGAAGCCCUGGCUAACUACGUGCAAGCAGCCGCGGUAAUACGGAGGGGGCAAGCGUUAUCCGGAUUUACUGGGUGUAAAGGGGGCGCAGACGGCUGUGCAAGUCUGGAGUGAAAGGUGGGGGCCCAACCCCCGGACUGCUGUGGAAACUGUAAAGCUGGAGUGCAGGAGAGGUAAGCGGAAUGCCUAGUGUAGCGGUGAAAUGCGUAGAUAUUAGGAGGAACACCAGUGGCGAAGGCGGCUUACUGAACUGUAACUGACGUUGAGGCUCGAAAGCGUGGGGAGCAAACAGGAUUAGAUACCCGAGUAGUC
rnacentral:rRNA from 1 species